rnacentral:rRNA from 1 species
GAUGAACGCUAGCUACAGGCUUAACACAUGCAAGUCGAGGGGUAACGAGAGGAAGGCUUGCUUUCCUUGUCGACGACCGGCGCACGGGUGAGUAACGCGUAUCCAACCUGCCCCCAACUAGGGAAUAACCUUGCGAAAGUAAGACUAAUACCCUAUAAUUUCCUCAGAUGACAUCUGACGAGGAAUAAAGAUUUAUCGGUUGCGGAUGGGGAUGCGGCUGAUUAGCUGGGUGGCGGGGUAACGGCCCACCAAGGAAACGAUCAGUAGGGGUUCUGAGAGGAAGGUCCCCCACAUUGGAACUGAGACACGGACCAAACUACUACGGGAGGCAGCAGUGAGGAAUAUUGGUCAAUGGGCGGAAGCCUGAACCAGCCAAGUAGCGUGCAGGAUGACGGCCCUAUGGGUUGUAAACUGCUUUUAUACAGGAAUAAAGUUAGCCACGUGUGGUUAUUUGUAGGUACUGUAUGAAUAAGGACCGGCUAAUUCCGUGCCAGCCGCCGCCGUAA